AUUGAACGCUGGCGGCAUGCCUUACACAUGCAAGUCGAACGGCAGCGCGGACUUCGGUCUGGCGGCGAGUGGCGAACGGGUGAGUAAUACAUCGGAACGUACCCUGUUGUGGGGGAUAACUAGUCGAAAGAUUAGCUAAUACCGCAUACGACCUGAGGGUGAAAGUGGGGGACCGCAAGGCCUCACGCAGCAGGAGCGGCCGAUGUCUGAUUAGCUAGUUGGUGGGGUAAAGGCCCACCAAGGCGACGAUCAGUAGCUAGUCUGAGAGGACGAUCAGCCACACUGGGACUGAGACACGGCCCAGACUCCGACGGGAGGCAGCAGUGGGGAAUUUUGGACAAUGGGGGCAACCCUGAUCCAGCAAUGCCGCGUGUGUGAAGAAGGCCUUCGGGUUGUAAAGCACUUUUGUCCGGAAAGAAAUCGCGCUGGUUAAUACCUGGCGUGGAUGACGGUACCGGAAGAAUAAGCACCGGCUAACUACGUG
rnacentral:rRNA from 1 species